UAGUUUACCUGACAGAGGAGAUACUGUGAGCAGAGAAAUGGUAUUUCCAGGGUAAGACUCCUCUAUUGCAUGUCAGAUGUGCUGGUCCAUGUGAUUUUACCAAUUGAAGGAAAUGGGAAAUGGAAGUACAUAAUUUGUGGUGGUGGGGACUCUGUUCACUAUCUCCUUU